rnacentral:lncRNA from 1 species
GGCUGGUAGUAAAAAAAACAGCAGUUUCGUUAUCUAUUCCAAUUUUAGUAUAUGUAUCGCCGAAUUAAUUACAGUUCGAUAUUCGAUAAACUUAAAUAUCACUGUCACGAAGCGUCAGUUGAUAGCUACGGGCGCUAUUUUUCAGGGGAAAGUGCAUCUAAUCCAUUCACAAGCUAAACAGCGACUAAUUUCACGAGCGCUGUGACGCUCGUGGCACUUUUAGUUGCGAUGCGCACGAGCGCAAUGGCGCUCGUCGGCACUCAAAGGGUUAAAUGUCUGGUUUCUUGUUAUAUUUUCCAAAAUACAGAUUAUCUUAGGCUACAGGACCA